ACUAUUCUCUUCCACAGGUCUUGCGGAGUAUCCUUCAAGGUGCAGGAACCAGCGUGGAUGAAGGGACCGGACAGUUCCCCUGCUGUACCAUGGGUGACCUACUUGGGAUGUGGACCUGAACCUCCGCCAUGUUGCAGACACCCCCCCCCCCUCAGGUCUUGCGGAGUAUCCUUCAAGGUGCAGGAACCAGCGUGGAUGAAGGGACCGGACAGUUCCCCUGCUGUACCAUGGGUGACCUACUUGGGAUGUGGACCUGAACCUCCGCCAUGUUGCAGACACCCCCCCCCCCCUCAGGUCUUGCGGAGUAUCCUUCAAGGUGCAGGAACCAGCGUGGAUGAAGGGACCGGACAGUUCCCCUGCUGUACCAUG